AAAAAGGUGAAAGGAGAAAAUUAAAAUAAAAAUUGGGAGAAAAGAAUCGCAUCGCGAUCUUUUAUAAGGAUAUGUAUCCAACACCUUCGGUACAUGAGAAAUUUGGCAAUGUAUCAAAAAGGGUGGGCUCCUUCGAAAUAUUUGUUCUUCCUCAAGAAAAAGGUUCUUCUUUUAGUUAGAACUCUGGGGCUAGAUCCAUGACUAGCGAGAGAUUGCAUGCUACCAACAUGUCAUCACCUAAAACUUUAUGUGGACAGUAUAUUUUUCUGUAUUCUUCAUGACAUUAUCCUUACAUGCUUUCUUUUUGUACGUUCUGUGUGUUUUACAGGACUUGACUGGUUUUAGUUUCACUUUUUUUUAUCAGAGUGGAGUUGAAGUGUUUGAUUGUUUUUCUCAUCACCGCCAUGAAACACAACUGUUAUACUUCUUGGUUCAGAUUUUGGCUAUCUGGUCAAGAGCUUUGAAGGAAGUCACUUACAGAAUUAAGGGAAAGGUAAUCUCUUCGUCCAGAACUGAGCCGGAUCCAUAACUGGAGGGAGAUGCCUGCUAGGCUGCUACCAACAUAUAUCAUGCUCCUGAAAUCUGAUGUCGGCACUAUAAUAUUUUUUCUACCAGAGAGUCCACAAAUGAACCGUUGAUUAUCCUCUAAGCCACCACAAUGAAACACAUUUUCUUGGUUCAGAUGUGUGACUGGCCAGCUGGUCAGGAGCUAUCAGAAGCAUGCACUUAUAAUUGAGGCAAAGGCUAACCCUGAUUCUAUCUGGGUAUUGGAAAAAGAUGUGGAUGAUAUCAAAAUACUGUAGUCACCCCUCUCUAUGAUAAAAUUGACAGCAACUUGGUACGUAUAAGGCAUGAAAAGUCGGAGAUACGUCUGGAUACCGCCCGCUAAAACAGGUAGGAUGUUGAUGCAUGACAAGGAAUUGCUUGACCCUAUAUGUUAAUGCUUCCCUUUAUGAUUAUAUUAAUGGGAGGCAAUCUCAUACUAACUAUUUGUUUAGUCCUUGACCAAACUGUCAUGCAUAGGCAUCAUUUGUUUAUUAUGAACAGUGAAGCCUAAAAUAAGGAUUGAAGGGUGCUUAUCUGUGAACGUGCUAUUGAGAUUUAGGAUUAAUGAAGGUGUGGCAACAGAUUUAGUAUUGAACGUCACAGUUAUUAAUAUGUGGCAAGGAAGAUCAUGGAGUUAAGUUGUCUUGGCAUCUUAUAGUCUUAACUCUACAGCUACAUAGCUGGUAUAUAAAUUCUAUCAGAACAUCCCGCAUAUUAAUAUUAAUACCAUUAUGUUGUUGUCUGAUGGACGACGGCUAGUUUGCGAGUCGACGGGGAUGAUGGCACAUCCUAAUGUAAGAGAAAAUAAAUGUAUGUAGGGAGAAAAGGAUCUCUGCCCUUCAUCUCAUUUUAGCCAAGUUUAGGCGGUCUAGGUAAGAACCUAGGCGAAACCAAAAGAGCAAGUGAUGUGCGACUCAUGAAACCCCGUUGGUGAGCCCACAUGCACUCUUGAGGGCUGUGGUCCUUACUUUGUUGGGCUAAUCACUCACAAAUGGGCUUAUUGCCCGAGCCCAAACUACAGCGAAACUAAAGCUAUACAUCUAUCUACCCACAAAUCAUAAGUCUACACCUAAAAUCCCCUAAAUGGGAGAUUGAUUGAUUGUUUGCGAGAAAAUACGAGCAAGUCUAAAUUAUUAGUGUGGUCUCAUACCUACUACACUAUUCUCUCUCUCUAACCCCUAAAUUUGCUGACACCAAGGGUACACAUAUUACUAUUAGGACAAUUACCUUUUCCUAAAAGCACCAUAUUUCUGUGUAUAUUUGUACGAUGCGCACAGAUUUGAGAAAUAAUUAUACUACACAUGUGCUCC